UGCCAACCGGGUGUCUGCACUGAGUUCGGCAUCAAUAUGGUAACUUUCUAGGAGCAGGGGGCCACCAGGUUGCCUAAGGAUGAGUGAACUGGCCCAGAUCAGAGAGGGAGCAGGUCAGAAUCCCCGCACUGACCGGUAAUGUGACUGUGCCUGGGCA
rnacentral:SRP_RNA from 1 species